UAAACCCAUUAUCAUCAUCUUUUUUGCAAUUUCUUUAGUCUUAGGAUUAGCAUCAGUCUCAGGACUAACAAGACUGGUAUCAGGAGUGACCAAAUCAUAGUACUUAUCAAAAUUAUCAUAAACCCAAUCUGGUGUUAGAUUGGGUUUAUGACAAUUUUAUGUGCAUAUGCAAUUUGUAUCAUCUUCAGGAACUGGCAAAUGGUCAAAACAAGUUUAAUAAUAAGGAGCACACAUAUAGCUUGAUAUCUGAAUUGCUUCCCUUGCUGAAACAUAUCUAUCAGAACCAAUUAAAUGAACUGGAAGUAAAGUAAGGGGAUCAAGGUAAGCUUCAAAACAAUUGCCUAGUUUCUUCCUCCAGUUAGAUAUCCUCUUGAUCGAUCUAUCAUCCAGAAGGUGGAUUUUCUGGUGUACUUCUUCGAGUAUAUGAGCCUCACAAUGAGCUUGUUAACUGUAAUUAUUGCAGGACUUCACUAGUGGAUUUUCAUAGAAGUUGCUCAAAUUGCUCUUACAAACUUUGCUUAGAUUAUUGCGGAAAGAUAGUAAAGGGAUCUGCUUCUCAAACACCUGCAAUUGAUUCCUCCAAGGCUGGUAGGAGACAGAGGGCAAAGAAGUAUGUCAUCAGAGAAAUUGUUGGGAAAAGACGGAGACGUUCCACAGGCGAGCGACCAGAUAACUCAUCUUUAUCCACCGUUGAAUCUGAUAGCAAGGCUAAGAAUCAUGGAAGCAACAUUCCUUGCCCACCCAAGGAAUCUGGAGUUUACAAAUCUCAAGUAUUCCAGAGUUGAAAUUGAUGAAGUGCGGUUCGAGUGGGUUGAAUG